rnacentral:hammerhead_ribozyme from 1 species
GUACUGUUGAAGAGUCCCAUACUAGGAUGAAACGAUCGUUCAGUAC